rnacentral:miRNA from 1 species
ACACGACUGCAAUAGAACUG